UUGAUAGAGGAGCAUUUUUUAUUAGUAGCCGCAAAAGAGAACGCCGGAGGUUUGGUGACGUUGCGGCAAAAGGAAAAAAUGCCGAAGAGACUGCCCUGCCGGCUGGUUGUCUCUGGGGGUGCGGUGAAGAACCGUAUCACUGUCAUUGGGGUUCCAAUGGAGGGCUAUCUU
rnacentral:ncRNA from 1 species